rnacentral:rRNA from 1 species
UACGUAGGGGGCGAGCGUUGUCCGGAAUUAUUGGGCGUAAAGAGCGUGUAGGCGGUUCGGUAAGUCUGCCGUGAAAACCUGGGGCUCAACCCCGGGCGUGCGGUGGAUACUGCCGGGCUAGAGGGUGGUAGAGGCGAGUGGAAUUCCCGGUGUAGCGGUGAAAUGCGCAGAUAUCGGGAGGAACACCAGUAGCGAAGGCAGCUCGCUGGGACGUGACUGACGCUGAGACGCGAAAGCGUGGGGAGCAAACAGG